AACGAACGCUGGCGGCAUGCCUAACACAUGCAAGUCGAACGAGAUCUUCGGGUCUAGUGGCGCACGGGUGCGUAACGCGUGGGAAUCUGCCCUUUGGUUCGGAAUAACAGUUGGAAACGACUGCUAAUACCGGAUGAUGACGAAAGUCCAAAGAUUUAUCGCCAGAGGAUGAGCCCGCGUAGGAUUAGCUAGUUGGUGUGGUAAAGGCGCACCAAGGCGACGAUCCGUAGCUGGUCUGGGAAGAUGAUCAGCCACACUGGGACUGAGACACGGCCCAGACUCCUACGGGAGGCAGCAGUGGGGAAUAUUGGACAAUGGGCGAAAGCCUGAUCCAGCAAUGCCGCGUGAGUGAUGAAGGCCUUAGGGUUGUAAAGCUCUUUUACCCGGGAUGAUAAUGACAGUACCGGGAGAAUAAGCUCCGGCUAACUCCGUGCCAGCCGCCGCCGUAA
rnacentral:rRNA from 1 species